rnacentral:lncRNA from 1 species
GAGAGUAAAGCAUUAGUCCCACUUUGACAUUUUCACAAACAAUUGGUUUGCUGCAAUUCAACUAAGGGCAGCCCGAUUGGCAUUGUUGUAGGCUAUGAAGCACGGAUACUUCAAAUUUCAUGCCGUAUCUGUAUCGGAUAUGUAUCGGAUACCGAUACGCCCCCGAUACGUGCCCGAUACGUGUCCGAUACGGGAAUGAAGUAUCCGGCAUUUUUAAAAAAUAAAAAAAUAUCGGAUACGGCUCGGAUACGUGAGGAAUGCGGGGGGGAUACGGAGAGGACACGGCCAGGUUCUUUUUUGGUCUAAAAUGAUUGAAACUUAAAUUUUUUUUAAAUGCUCACGUCCAAACCUAUUGGAAAGAAGGAAAAGAGUGAGAAAAACACCAAUAUCUGUUCAAUUUGUCAUUUCAUCUAUCUUUUUGUUCUUGAAUAGUAGAGGCGCUCUCUCUCGUUCUAUUUUCACACAGUAUUUACUCUCUUCCAUCUAAUUUGUCAACCUAGUAUUAAGCAUCAAAGGCUAUAGAAAAUAUGAUUUUUUUUUUCCUUCUCUAUUAAAUUGUUAGCAUUUUUUUAUUACUAUUUUCAUAAUAGAACUAACAAAUCAGACAUAUAUAUUGAAUGGCUAAUUAUCUAGUUUGUGCGACUAUAUAUUUAUUGUUAUCAUUUGAUCAAGUUGAAUGAUAGUUGGUUUGAUACUUUUUGAAUUAUUAUUUUAUAUGAUUUAUUAUCUUUUUUUAUGAACAUAUGUAGAAUAAUUAUACAAGUUAAUGCAUAUUGGAAUAUAUUCCUUAAUAUAGUCUAGAUAUUCUAAUUGUUCUCAAUAUAUCAUUACAUAUAAUCAACAUACAUUUUAAUAUAUUUAAAAUAAUAUUUUAUUUAAGUAUAUCCCGCGUAUCGUAUCCUAAAAGUUUUAGAAAUUGCCGUAUCACCGUAUCCGUAUCGUGUCGUAUCCGUAUCUCCGUAUCCGUAUCUGUGCAACAUAGGUUGUAGGGCUUAAUGCUAUGUAUAAAUUGCUGUGUAAGUAGUGCUUUUAGUGGAAGCACCACAGUAAAAUUUUUCCAAUAGCAUCUCUCUCUGCAACAAAAUAAGGGGUUUUGGUACCCAGAAUCUUCUUAUCUAACUAGCAGAAUAUCCACACUUUUCUAUUUGUCCAAGACAAUAGUGUUAAAUUAUACAAAACUCCCCCCCUCGUGCCUGGGCUCGAGAGAGACUUUUAUAUUAGGAGCCUAGCGUGACUCGAACUUAGAACCUCCCUUC